rnacentral:rRNA from 1 species
AGAAUCAACGCUGGCGGCGUGCCUAACACAUGCAAGUCGAACGAGAAAGGGGAGCAAUCCCUGAGUAAAGUGGCGACCGGGUGAGUAACACGUGACUAACCUACCCUCGAGUGUGGAAUAACAUCGGGAAACCGAUGCUAAUACCGCAUAACAUCGGCGCUUUUAAGAGAUGCCGAUCAAAGGAGCAAUCCGCUUGAUGAGGGGGUCGCGGCUGAUUAGCUAGUUGGCGGGUAACGGCCCACCAAGGCGAAGAUCGGUAGCCGGCCUGAGAGGGGCGCGACGGACCGACGACCUGGAACGUGAAACACGGUCCAGACUCCUACGGGAGGCAGCAGUGGGGAAUUUUGCGCAAUGGGGGAAACCCUGACGCAGCAACGCCGCGUGGAGGAUGAAGCCCCUUGGGGCGUAAACUCCUUUCGACCAAGACGAUAAUGACGGUACUGGUGGAAGAAGCACCGGCUAACUCUGUGCCAGCAGCCGC